UACGAAGGGGGCUAGCGUUGCUCGGAAUCACUGGGCGUAAAGCGCACGUAGGCGGUUUGCUAAGUCAGGGGUGAAAUCCUGGAGCUCAACUCCAGAACUGCCUUUGAUACUGAGAUCGUGAGUUCGGGAGAGGUGAGUGGAACUGCGAGUGUAGAGGUGAAAUUCGUAGAUAUUCGCAAGAACACCAGUGGCGAAGGCGGCUCACUGGCCCGAUACGUGACGCUGGAGGC
rnacentral:rRNA from 1 species